GACGAACGCUGGCGGCGUGCUUAACACAUGCAAGUCGAACGAUGAAGCCUAGCUUGCUAGGUGGAUUAGUGGCGAACGGGUGAGUAAUACGUGAGUAACCUACCUUUAACUCUGGGAUAAGCCCGGGAAACUGGGUCUAAUACCGGAUACGACCAAUCUCCGCAUGGGGUGUUGGUGGAAAGCGUUAUGUGGUGGUUAUAGAUGGGCUCACGGCCUAUCAGCUUGUUGGUGAGGUAACGGCUCACCAAGGCGACGACGGGUAGCCGGCCUGAGAGGGUGACCGGCCACACUGGGACUGAGACACGGCCCAGACUCCUACGGGAGGCAGCAGUGGGGAAUAUUGCACAAUGGGCGCAAGCCUGAUGCAGCGAGGCCGCGUGAGGGAUGACGGCCUUCGGGUUGUAAACCUCUGUUAGCAGGGAAGAAGAGAGAUUGACGGUACCUGCAGAGAAAGCGCCGGCUAACUACGUG
rnacentral:rRNA from 1 species